rnacentral:rRNA from 1 species
AGAGUUUGAUCGUGGCUCAAGAUGAACGCUGACGGCGUGGAUAAGGCAUGCAAGUCGAAUGGGUUUAGACCCAUGGCAAACGGGUUCAGAUAACAUAGGAAUCUACCCUCGAGUCGCGAAUAAUCCGGAGAAAUCCGGAAUAAUACGCGAUACCCUCUACGGAGGAAUGGUUUACCGCUCGAGGAGGAGCCUGUGUCCUAUCAGCUUGUUGGUGAGGUAAUGGCUCACCAAGGCUAUGACGGGUAGGGGGUGUGAGAGCACGGCCCCCAACAUUGGAACUGAGACACUGUCCAAACACCUACGGGUGGCUGCAGUCGAGAAUAUUCCACAAUGGACGAAAGUCUGAUGGAGCGACGCCGCGUGCGGGAUGAAGGCCUUCGGGUUGUAAACCGCUUUUCUACGGGAAGAAUUACGAUGACGGUACCGUAGGAAUAAGAGGUUACUAACUCUGUGCCAGCAGUAGCGGUAAUACAGAGACCUCAAGCGUUAUCCGGAUUUAUUGGGCGUAAAGCGUAAGUAGGCGGGCAUGUUAGUCGGGCGUCAAAGCUCGGGGCUCAACCCCGAAAAGGCGUCCGAAACGGCAUGUCUAGAGAGUGUGAGAGAUCGAUGGAAUUCAUGGUGUAGUAGUGAAAUGCGUUGAUAUCAUGAGGAACACCCAAGGCGUAGGCAAUCGAUUGGCACAUUUCUGACGCUCAGUUACGAAAGCGUGGGUAGCGAAUGGGAUUAGAUACCCCAGUAGUCCACGCCCUAAACGAUGCAUACUAGGUGUGGGGAGAAUCGACCCUCUCUGUGCCGUAGCUAACGCGUUAAGUAUGCCGCCUGGGAAGUACGAGCGCAAGCUUAAAACUCAAAGGAAUAGACGGGGAUCCGCACAAGUGGUGGAGCAUGUGGUUUAAUUCGACGGUAAGCGAGGCACCUCACCAAAGGUUUGAAAUCUAGCUGGAGAUCUCAGAAAUGAGAAGUCCUUCGAGGCCGCUAGACCAGGUGCUGCAUGGUUGUCGUCAGCUCGUGUCGUAAGAUGUUCCGUUCAGUCGGGAAACGAGCGCAACCCCUGUGAAGUGUUAUAUAUGUCACUUCAGACUGCCCUCUCAUUUGGCCAGAAACGAAAGUUUGUGGGCAGGUGAGAGGGAGGAAGGCGGGGAUGACGUCAAAUCAGCAUGGCCCUCUGACACCCUGGGCGACACACGUGCUACAAUGGCCGGAAUAAAGGGUCGCCAAACCGCAAGGUGGAGCCAAUCCCAAAAAUUCGGUAUCAGUUCGGAUUGCAGGCUGCAACUCGCCUGCAUGAAGCAGGAAUCACUAGUAAUCGGGAAUCAGCCAUGUCCCGGUGAAUACGUUCUCGGAUCUUGUACUCACCGCCCGUCACACCAAGAGAGCUGGCAAUACCAGAAGGUCCCACGUCAAACUGGGAACUACGGUAGGGUCAGUAAUAAGGGUGAAGUCGUAACAAGGUA